rnacentral:rRNA from 1 species
GAUGAACGCUGGCGGCGUGCUUAACACAUGCAAGUCGAACGGAAAGGCUCCUGCUUGCAGGGGUACUCGAGUGGCGAACGGGUGAGUAACACGUGGGUGAUCUGCCCUGCACUUCGGGAUAAGCCUGGGAAACUGGGUCUAAUACCGGAUAGGACGAUGGUUUGGAUGCCAUUGUGGAAAGUUUUUCGGUGUGGGAUGAGCUCGCGGCCUAUCAGCUUGUUGGUGGGGUAAUGGCCUACCAAGGCGUCGACGGGUAGCCGGCCUGAGAGGGUGUACGGCCACAUUGGGACUGAGAUACGGCCCAGACCCCUACGGGAGGCAGCAGUGGGGAAUAUUGCACAAUGGGCGCAAGCCUGAUGCAGCGACGCCGCGUGGGGGAUGACGGCCUUCGGGUUGUAAACUCCUUUCGCUAGGGACGAAGCGCAAGUGACGGUACCUGGAGAAGAAGCACCGGCUAACUACGUG